UCAGCAACUGCCAAGUCCAAAGGAGC
rnacentral:piRNA from 1 species